rnacentral:rRNA from 1 species
GAUGAACGCUAGCGAUAGGCUUAACACAUGCAAGUCGAGCGACCGGCGCACGUGUGCGUAACGUGUAUGCAACUUGCCUCACAGGGGGGGAUAACCCGUCGCAAGACGGACUAAUACCGCGUACUGUGAGAUAGGCAUGCGUCCCAUUAGCUAGUUGGUGAGGUAACGGCUCACCAAGGCAACGACGGGUAGGGGAACUGAGAGGUUGAACCCCCGCACUGCGACUGGGACACGAACCAGACUCCGACGGGAGGCAGGAAUGAGGAAUAAUGGGCAAUAGGCGAGAGGCUGAACCAGCCAAGUCGCGUGAAGGAUGGCAGUGUAUAGAUUGUAUACUUCUUUUGUAAGGGAAUGUGUACCCUACGAAUAGGCAUCGGCUAACUCCGUGCCAGCGGCGCGGUAAUUC